rnacentral:rRNA from 1 species
AGUGAACGCUGGCGGUAGGCCUAACACAUGCAAGUCGAACGGCAGCACAGUAAGAGCUUGCUCUUACGGGUGGCGAGUGGCGGACGGGUGAGGAAUACAUCGGAAUCUACUUUUUCGUGGGGGAUAACGUAGGGAAACUUACGCUAUACCGCAUAAGAUCUACGGGUGAAAGCAGGGGAUCUUCGGACCUUGCGCGAUUGCAUGAGCCGAUGUCGGAUUAGCUAGUUGGCGGGGUAAAGGCCCACCAAGGCGACGAUCCGUAGCUGGUCUGAGAGGAUGAUCAGCCACACUGGAACUGAGACACGGUCCAGACUCCUACGGGAGGCAGCAGUGGGGAAUAUUGGACAAUGGGCGCAAGCCUGAUCCAGCCAUACCGCGUGGGUGAAGAAGGCCUUCGGGUUGUAAAGCCCUUUUGUUGGGAAAGAAAAGCAGCAGGUUAAUACCCCGCUGUUCUGACGGUACCCAAAGAAUAAGCACCGGCUAACUUCGUG